CACUGUAAAAAAUAACACUACAUCUUACUGCAGUAACACAAGUAUACUUUACUUACUAUAGGCUGACCUAGUGUUCUUACUAGAGUAAUAUUAGUAAUGUGCCAAACUUGCAACAAUGGGGUCUAAAACUUGAGAUACACGAGUAAGCUUCACAACUCAGACCUGAGUAAACUGGACUCACGCAGUGCACAUGCGCACAGUUAGCAGAGGGAGCAUUCUGGAUUCCACAGCCAACGGUCGGCAGUGUUACGGUGUGGCUGACUUUUGGGAUGGGAGUGUAAUGCAGCUUCACCAGUGACUUGCUCUGUCCGUUGGAAAACUGAAAAUGCAGAGCAAUGAACUGGACAUGUAAGUUGUGCUUGUUUGGAUGUGAAGUCAGAGGUCAGUUGCUCAAACACUACUGAUUGAAACAUGGAGGUUACAC